rnacentral:rRNA from 1 species
UGGGGAAUAUUGCGCAAUGGGGGGAACCCUGACGCAGCGACGCCGUGUAAAGGAAGAAGGUCUUCGGAUCGUAAACUUAUAUCGAUUGUGAAAAGUAAGGAUGGUAGCAAAGUAAGAAGCCCCGGCUAACUACGUGCCAGCAGCCGCGGUAAGACGUAGGGGGCGAGCGUUAUCCGGAAUGAUUGGGUGUAAAGGGUGAGUAGGCGGCUAGCCAAGUCAUAUGUUAAAGGCUGCAGCUUAACUGCAGUAAGGCAUAAGAAACUGGAUAGCUAGAGUGCAGGAGAGGUAAGCGGAAUUUCUAGUGUAGCGGUGAAAUGCGUAGAUAUUAGGAAGAACACCAGUGGCGAAGGCGGCUUACUGGACUGUAACAGACGCUGAGGCACGAAAGCGUGGGGAGCGAACAGG